AAGAAAAAGGUGAUGCAAAGCAAAAGCACCCGAAUAUGCUUUGCUCUCCCCUGCAAAUAUCCCUUCUCUCUUUCCUACUACCAUGAUCAUCAUCCUCAUCAUUUCUCUAUAAUACUACACCUAUUUCACACACACUCUCUCUCGUUAUCUGAUUUUGGGAACUAUGGAGCUUGCUCAGGAGCUCUUGUUCACAGUUUCUCUUGCUCUCCUCUUCUCUUUUCUUGUGGCCAAACUCGUCUCCCUGGCCAUGGCUGCUGACUUGAAGAGCGCCCAGAAUGUGGAUGAUCACAUCGUUGCCAAUGAGGUUAGGUUUGUAGAAACCGAGACUAGGGUGGAAUCUGUUGAUGGAGGAUCGGGUCUGGUUGAGGAAACUUGUGAAAUUACGCGUGGCGGUGAAGUGCCGGUUUUGCCUUCGGAGGAGGAAGUGUCGGAGAUUGUUGAAUUGCCGGAAAAUUCACCGAGGGAAAGGUCGGGGCAUGAGAUUUUAGUGAGUCAUGAUGUUGCUGUCGUUGAGGAACGUGACGAGAGGGAGUUGGAGAGUGAGGAAGAUGAUUGGGAGGGGGUUGAGAGGAGUGAAUUGGAGAGGGUUUUUGCGGCGGCUGCCAACUUUGUUGGUUCUGGGAACAAGGGUGACGGGUGGUCAAGUGAUGCGCAGAUGGAAUUGUAUGGACUUCAUAAGAUCGCAGUUGAGGGGCCUUGCCAUGAGCCUCAGCCUAUGCCGCUCAAGCUCUCUGCCCGUGCCAAGUGGAAUGCUUGGCAAAGGAUGGGAAACAUGAGUAGGGAGGUGGCCAUGGAGCAGUAUAUUGCUCUUCUUUCAGAUAGAGUUCCUGGGUGGAUGGAAGCUAGUUCUGCUGGAGAUGACAAACCAGAGUCCUCAGAAGGCGGAGUACAUGAUAUACUGGAUCCUAAUCAAAGCUCAUUGCUGCAUGAUCAAAUAAGUUCUACAAAUGAAACGAAACCAGAACUGAAGUCUGGUACUUUGGGAAUUGAUUUGACUGAGGGUUCAAACUCUGUGAGCACGGAGAAAGAAUGACAAACAUUGCCUUGCUACUCUAUCUCCACCACCACAAGGGGCAUUCUACUUUGUCACUGGAGCAGAAUAAGGACUAAUUCCUAUUACCAAGUAUAGUUGAAAUUGUGGUGAUGGUGAGCAGGAUGGUAGUGCUCUGCUAGCACAUUGAAGGGUUUUGGUUGGAUUGAUAUUUCUUUUGUUGUUUGUUCAAGAAAAGCGAUAUGAUUGGAUUUCUUUGCAACUAAAAUGAAGAUAUAGUAGCAUCUUGCUUUUAGUAGAGCUGGAAGUGAAUCAGGUUCAUUACUAAAACAAUCUGAAAUCUGAAUCUUGUUAAAAUGUGAAACUACUGUUGUUUUCCUUAUUAUCAAGUUGUGCUAUAUAUAUGUAUGUUAAGCUUGUUAUCUUUGUUACUCUGAUGGUUUAACAUUUCUUGGCCCAAGCCAUCUGAUUGGCUGCCUGAUGGAGAUUAAACCUUGAGUGUAGAGAGAGAGAGAGAGAGAGAGAGAGAGAGUUCUGUGAUAUCAUGUGUAAAGAGGAGUUGAGUUGGAGCAGUCGCCCAACAGUAUAGUUUGGGUUUUGAACCAAAGUUUAGAAAAUAAAAUUGUAUUAGAAUUUGGUUUG